rnacentral:tRNA from 1 species
GAGACUCUAGUAAAAUACAUUACAUAGCACUGUCAGCGCUAUAUUACAGAAACCUCUGUGAGACUCA